rnacentral:rRNA from 1 species
CUAUGCGCCUUGCCAGCCCGCUCAGAAACUACAAAGGAAUUGACGGGGGCCCGCACAAGCGGAGGAGCAUGUGGUUUAAUUCGAUGAUACGCGAGGAACCUUACCUGGGCUUAAAUGCUUAAUGACGUACUGGGAAACUGGUAUUUCUUCGGACAUUUUGCAAGGUGCUGCAUGGUUGUCGUCAGCUCGUGCCGUGAGGUGUCGGGUUAAGUCCCAUAACGAGCGCAACCCCUAUUGUUAGUUGCCAUCAGGUCAUGCUGGGGACUCUAACAAAACUGCCCGCGUAAGCGUGGAGGAAGGUGGGGAUGACGUCAAAUCAGCACGGCCCUUACGUCCAGGGCUACACACGUGCUACAAUGGCCGGUACAGAGGGCAGCCACUUGGUGACAAGGAGCAAAUCUCAAAAGCCGGUCUCAGUUCGGAUCGGAGUCUGCAACUCGACUCCGUGAAGUUGGAUUCGCUAGUAAUCGUAGAUCAGCAAUGCUACGGUGAAUACGUUCCCGGGCCUU